rnacentral:lncRNA from 1 species
GAGGUCAUUAAAGUGUGAAAUAUAAAGCUGAAUACAAAUAUACUACAUCAUCGCCGCCCCUGUCGUCAGAUUAUCAGCCCUGUGAGAGAAAAAAAAACAACAAUUUAUGUGGUAUUUCCAAAAUCGCAUAAUGAAGAGAACUUUUACUUUCGGUGAUCUUCUUAAAUGAUCUAUUAUAUUACUUUUGUAACAUUUGUCUGGUAGAAACAAUGUCAGUGUUGGUUAUAAAUGUUUACAUAUAGACACAUUCGUCCGUAAGUGUAAGUGUGUAACACUCAUCUACGUCAUAUUGAGGAAUUCCGGGGUUUCCC